GUACCGUGAGGGANNGUNNAAAAGAACUUUGAAGAGAGAGUUCAAGAGUACGUGAAACCGUUCAGGGGUAAACCUGUGAAACCCAAAAGAUCGAAUGAGGAGAUUCAUCGUCAGCGUACUCAGUAUUAAUGCAGGCUAUGAUGUGAUAAUAGAAUCCUCGUGGUCACUAGAUUAUACUUGCUUGUAUUAUUUUUGCUGGGUAUGUCGGCGUGCACUUCUCCUCUAGUAGAACGUCGCGACCCGUUGGAUGUUUAUUUAUGGCCUGAUUGGNNNNCCUUUG
rnacentral:rRNA from 1 species